UACGUAGGGUGCGAGCGUUGUCCGGAAUUAUUGGGCGUAAAGGGCUCGUAGGCGGUUUGUCGCGUCGGGAGUGAAAACAUCCAGCUUAACUGGGUGCUUGCUUUCGAUACGGGCAGACUAGAGGUAUGCAGGGGAGAACGGAAUUCCUGGUGUAGCGGUGAAAUGCGCAGAUAUCAGGAGGAACACCGGUGGCGAAGGCGGUUCUCUGGGCAUUAACUGACGCUGAGGAGCGAAAGCAUGGGGAGCGAACAGG
rnacentral:rRNA from 1 species